AAUCAACGCUGGCGGCGUGCCUCAGACAUGCAAGUCGAACGAUUAAAGCUCUCUUCGGAGAGUGCAUAGAGUGGCGCACGGGUGAGUAACACGUAAGUAAUCUACCUUCGAGUGGGGAAUAACAGUCGGAAACGACUGCUAAUACCGCAUAAUGCAGCGGCAUCGCAAGAUGACAGUUGUUAAAGGAGCAAUCCGCUUGAAGAGGAGCUUGCGGCAGAUUAGCUAGUUGGUAAGGUAAUGGCUUACCAAGGCAACGAUCUGUAACCGACCUGAGAGGGUGGUCGGGUCACACUGACACUGAAUAACGGGUCAGACUCCUACGGGAGGCAGCAGUCGGGAAUUUUGGGUCGAAUGGGCGCAAGCCUGACCCAGCAACGCCGCGUGAA
rnacentral:rRNA from 1 species